rnacentral:piRNA from 1 species
UGGCACCUGUGAAUCAUAACUGUGAUCC